rnacentral:rRNA from 1 species
UGGGGAAUUUUGGACAAUGGGGGAAACCCUGAUCCAGCCAUCCCGCGUGUGCGAUGAAGGCCUUCGGGUUGUAAAGCACUUUUGGCAGGAAAGAAACGUCGCGGGUUAAUACCCCGCGAAACUGACGGUACCUGCAGAAUAAGCACCGGCUAACUACGUGCCAGCAGCCGCGGUAAUACGUAGGGUGCAAGCGUUAAUCGGAAUUACUGGGCGUAAAGCGUGCGCAGGCGGUUCGGAAAGAAAGAUGUGAAAUCCCAGAGCUUAACUUUGGAACUGCAUUUUUAACUACCGGGCUAGAGUGUGUCAGAGGGAGGUGGAAGUUCCGCGUGUAGCAGUGAAAUGCGUAGAUAUGCGGAGGAACACCGAUGGCGAAGGCAGCCUCCUGGGAUAACACUGACGCUCAUGCACGAAAGCGUGGGGAGCAAACAGGAUUAGAUACCCUGGUAGUCCACGCCCUAAACGAUGUCAACUAGCUGUUGGGGCUUCGGGCCUUGGUAGCGCAGCUAACGCGUGAAGUUGACCGCCUGGGGAGUACGGUCGCAAGAUUAAAACUU